AACCAUUCUCACCUGCGGCUAGACCUGCGGAAGGAUCAUUACACAAUACAAUAUGAAGGCUGUCCGCAGCUGGAGUAUUUUAUUACCCUUGUCUUUUGCGCACUUGUUGUUUCCUGGGCGGGUUCGCUCGCCACCAGGACCACCAAAUAAACCUUUUUUAUGCAGUUGCAAUCAGCGUCAGUACAAACAAUGUAAAUCAUUUACAACUUUUAGCAAUGGAUCUCAGAUCGGAAGAGCACA
rnacentral:misc_RNA from 1 species